UUGCUGGAAAGGCCAGGAACCAGAGCUCAGCACUUGGAUACUGAAAUCCACUAAAAAGAAGAGAAUUUCUAAGCAUUAGUUUUAUACAUAAAAAAAAUGAACAAAAUGUUCUUCUCUGAAAUGUGUUUCAGUGCUCAGGUAGGUUUAAUACCAAAAAUCUUAAUAAUUUUGCUGUUAUCUUUUUAUUUUUUGAAAAGUGCUAAAACUCGAAACAUUUAACUGGUGACCGGAAAUACUACAAAGUUUUAAGCUAUAUAUAUAUAAAAAACGGUCAUCAGAGGGGAUGUGUGUACCGCUCAUAUUUACAUAAUAUUCAUAUAAUCAGGGUGUUUGAUGAAAGUGAAAUGUAGACACUGACUAUUGUGGAACUGCCAUGAUGAGCAGUUUAUUCAUUAUAGGAAACUUCAAGUUUAUCUUUUAAUAAAAGGCUAAAGUUUAAUCAGCUGUGAUCUGCGCGCUCGUACGUACAGUCUAAAGGCUCAGAGUUUGUGAGGUGCUUCUUGAACUGCUCGUUUAGGUCUUUGCUGACACCGAUGUCCUGGAACAUGCGCUGCAGCUUGGACGUGUACUCGAAGCCACACGCUUGCUGUAGAAACUGCAAAAGAAGUGCCGGCAUUAAAGCAGGCGGGCAGGCAGAACCUUCAGUUUGGAGAUCAUGCUGGCCUCGGCGUCGUCGCUGGCGCUGUUCUGGUGGACCAGACGCUUGGCCAGCAUUUUUGCAUAAAACUUCUGGAACACGUCUUUGUCCUCGAUGUACUUAAACACCACCAUCUGGAGAAAAAGUUCUACAACUCACCACUUGAUUUAAAGUGUCUUCGAGCUCUGCUUCCUCUGGGUUUUUGGAGCUUUUCUUAAGCAGAGAGUCACAGUAUCGAGCCAGAAGUUCAGGAGAUUUGCUGGACGACUGGACCAUCUUUGUGACGGCGUUGUUGUUGAUGAAGCGCCCACAAGCCUGUUUGGAAACAGAGACGAAAACAAACCGGAUUCACAGCCUUUCUGUUCGCCUCACAAAUGUUUAAAUGUAAGCAUUUCUUCAUGUUUCUGUUCCGAUCGUGUGUGAGGACGUAACGUAUACAUUACAGUUACAGAGAACUUACUUUAAUAAAAAAAAGUUACCUUAUCCAA